AUUGAACGCUGGCGGCAGGCUUAACACAUGCAAGUCGAGCGGGGUGAUGGUGCUUGCACUAUCACUUAGCGGCGGACGGGUGAGUAAUGCUUAGGAAUCUGCCUAUUAGUGGGGGACAACAUCUCGAAAGGGAUGCUAAUACCGCAUACGUCCUACGGGAGAAAGCAGGGGAUCACUUGUGACCUUGCGCUAAUAGAUGAGCCUAAGUCGGAUUAGCUAGUUGGUGGGGUAAGGGCCUACCAAGGCGACGAUCUGUAGCGGGUCUGAGAGGAUGAUCCGGCACACUUGGACUGAGACACGGCCCAGACUCCUACGGGAGGCAGCAGUGCGGACUAUUGGACAAUGGGGGGAACCCUGAUCCAGCCAUGCCGCGUGUGUGAAGAAGGCCUUAUGGUUGUAAAGCACUUUAAGCGAGGAGGAGGCUCUUUUGGUUAAUACCCAAGAUGAGUGGACGUUACUCGCAGAAUAAGCACCGGCUAACUCUGUGCCAGCCGCCGCAGUAA
rnacentral:rRNA from 1 species